AUUGGAUCGCGGAUAAUUUUGAAUGGGUCGCCAACAAAUUAAAACGUUGGUGUAAUAUUUUUGUUUUGGACUACACGCAGUAUGAAAUAGUUUUGAAAAUAAUUAAUAAAAUAUUUUUCUUGACAAACAAUUAUACAAGUUCGUAAUUUUGGGACUAUGGUCUUUCAAUGCUGUAAACAUCGAAAUUCAUGGGAAUGAUGAAAUUUGAUAUG